AAGCCUGUCAAUGACCCAUUCUCAAAUACAUAUAAUCCAGGUUGGAGGAACCACCCCAAUUUUUCUUGAAGAUCCCAACAGACUCAGGCCCUGACCCAAAUUUCUCCUAUGCAAAACUUUCAAAAUAGGCCCCAAUACUAAAACUAUACCUAUAAUAGAGGUCAGCCUACCCAGCCAUCCUAUUAUAAUCAACCUUCAUACCCAUCUCCUUAACAGACCCCUCUAGCCAAUGAUAGAUUUAGCCAACUCCAAUAACUGAUUAUGACCCAACAGUAAUUCCUCACCAGGCU
rnacentral:lncRNA from 1 species